GGGGUUGUGGCUCAGAGGUAGAGCACUCGCCUGGCAUGCGUGAGGCAUUGAGUUUGAUCCUCAGCACCACA
rnacentral:tRNA from 1 species